GUGGAGAACAUGCCCUAAGGUGGGGGAUAACCUCGGGAAACUGAGGAUAAUACCCCAUAGUUCAGAGGCUCUGGAAUGACUUCUGGACGAAAACUCCGGUGCCUUAGGAUUGCUCUGCGGCCUAUCAGGUUGUAGUGGGGGUAACGGCCCCACUAGCCUACAACGGGUACGGGCGUUGAGAGACGUCGCCCGGAGAUGAACUCUGAGACACGAGCUCAGGCCCUACGGGGCGCAGCAGGCGCAAAAACUGCACAAUACUGGAAACAGUGAUGCGGGAAUUCCAAGUGCCAGGACAUUGUCCUGGCUGUUUUCAAGCCUAAAAAGCUUGGAGAGUAAGGGCUGGGUAAGACGGGUGCCAGCCGCCGCGGUAAUACCUGCAGCCCAAGUGGUGGCCGUUAUUAUUGGGCCUAAAACGUCCGUAGCCGGCUUGGUAGAUGCCUGUGUAAAUCGAACGGCUUAACCGUUCGAAUUGCGGGUAGACCGCCAAGCUUGGGACCGGGAGAGUCACGAGGUACUCCGAGGGUAGAGGUGAAAUUCUGUAAUCCUCGGGGGACCACCGGUGGCGAAGGCGUCGUGAUAGAACGGCUCCGACGGUGAGGGACGAAGCCCUGGGGCGCAAACCGGAUUAGAUACCCGGGUAGUCCAGGGUGUAAACGCUGUGGGCUUGGUGUCGGCAGUCCUACGGGGGCAGCCGGUGCCGGAGAGAAGUUGUUAAGCCCACUGCCUGGGGAGCACGGCCGCAAGGUUGAAACUUAAAGGAAUUGGCGGGGG
rnacentral:rRNA from 1 species